rnacentral:rRNA from 1 species
AUGAAUGACACCUUGUCUCCUUGUCUCAGAAAAUAUGCAGUGGUCUUCUUUGAUGAUAUCCUGGUUUUCAGUGCUUCCUAUGCACAACACAUACAACAUCUGGCAGAAGUGCUACAACUGUUACUCAAACAUCAGUGGUUGGUCAAGCUGUCCAAAUGUGCAUUUUCCCAAACUCAAAUUGGUUACCUGGGGCAUAUAAUAAGUGGUCAAGGAGUUGCUACUGAUCCCUCUAAGAAUUCUGCUAUAAAGGAGUGGCCAGUGCCUGUCUUUGCUAAGGAAGUUAGAGGAUUUUUGGGUCUUGCCGGGUAUUACAGGAAGUUCAUUUCUCACUAUGGCAUGUUGAGCAAGCCCUUAACAAACCUUCUAAAGAAGGGAGUUCCUUUCACCAGACAGAUAAUGAGCAACAAGCCUUUGUGCUCCUUAAACAUGCAUUAG